rnacentral:rRNA from 1 species
UACGGGGGGGGUAAGCGUUGUUCGGAAUUACUGGGCGUAAAGGGCGCGUAGGCGGCUAACUAAGUUAGACGUGAAAUCCUUCAGCUUAACUGGGGAACUGCGUGUGAUACUGGAUGGCUUGAAUUUGGGAGAGGGAUGCGGAAUUCCAGGUGUAGCGGUGAAAUGCGUAGAUAUCUGGAGGAACACCGGUGGCGAAGGCGGCAUCCUGGACCAAUAUUGACGCUGAGGAGCGAAAGCCAGGGGAGCAAACGGG